rnacentral:sRNA from 1 species
CCGCAGGAAUGCUCCGUUAAAAACGCCACUUCGCGUGGCAACACGGAGCCACCUGGCAUGGCCAG